AUUUUGUUUAAAUAAGUUCCCACUCCCAGCUUAGGGACUCUGUUCCAAUGGGGGGUCAUUGUACUCCAUUUUCUUCCCUGUCCUUUCUCUUUAGUGAAUAAACCCCACAAUGUCAAUUACAGAAAGAUGCUGUGAACUUUGGCUGCCAGUAAUGUAGGCCAGAAGGGGAGCAAAAAUAGAUGUAAGCAUUUGUGCAGGUCCAGGUGUAUGAGAGCUUAAUGAGGCUGAUGAUGUGCUGAGAAUAAAUGAAUUGCUCUUUGAGAGACGUGCGUGGUGCUGGCCAGUAGGAGAUAUGGCAAUUAAAGCGAAGUGAUCAAAGCUAAUAAUAUAGAGUUUGCUGAAUAUGAAGUAAGGAGUGUGUGAAAUGUCAUAAAAAUUGGUACUAUUUUAUGUAUGUUUCCAUUUAUCAUAUCUAGGAUAAAACUACAGAUCUGUCACUCAUACCGC